UACGUAGGGGGCAAGCGUUGUCCGGAUUUAUUGGGCGUAAAGAGCGUGUAGGCGGUUUGGUAGGUCCGCUGUGAAAACUCGAGGCUCAACCUCGAGACGCCGGUGGAAACCAUCAGGCUAGAGUCCGGAAGAGGAGAGUGGAAUUCCUGGUGUAGCGGUGAAAUGCGCAGAUAUCAGGAAGAACACCUAUGGCGAAGGCAGCUCUCUGGGACGGUACUGACGCUGAGACGCGAAAGCGUGGGGAGCGAACAGG
rnacentral:rRNA from 1 species